rnacentral:rRNA from 1 species
UGGCUCAGGACGAACGCUGGCGGCGUGCCUAAUACAUGCAAGUAGAACGCUGAAGAAAGGAGCUUGCUUCUUUUGGAUGAGUUGCGAACGGGUGAGUAACGCGUAGGUAACCUGCCUUGUAGCGGGGGAUAACUAUUGGAAACGAUAGCUAAUACCGCAUAACAGCUUUUGACACAUGUUAGAAGCUUGAAAGAUGCAAUUGCAUCACUACGAGAUGGACCUGCGUUGUAUUAGCUAGUAGGUAGGGUAACGGCCUACCUAGGCGACGAUACAUAGCCGACCUGAGAGGGUGAUCGGCCACACUGGGACUGAGACACGGCCCAGACUCCUACGGGAGGCAGCAGUAGGGAAUCUUCGGCAAUGGGGGCAACCCUGACCGAGCAACGCCGCGUGAGUGAAGAAGGUUUUCGGAUCGUAAAGCUCUGUUGUAAGAGAAGAACGUGUGUGAGAGUGGAAAGUUCACACAGUGACGGUAACUUACCAGAAAGGGACGGCUAACUACGUGCCAGCAGCCGCGGUAAU